UACGUAGGGUGCAAGCGUUAAUCGGAAUUACUGGGCGUAAAGCGUGCGCAGGCGGUUAUGUAAGACAGUUGUGAAAUCCCCGGGCUCAACCUGGGAACUGCAUUUGUGACUGCAUAGCUAGAGUACGGUAGAGGGGGAUGGAAUUCCGCGUGUAGCAGUGAAAUGCGUAGAUAUGCGGAGGAACACCGAUGGCGAAGGCAAUCCCCUGGACCUGUACUGACGCUCAUGCACGAAAGCGUGGGGAGCAAACAGG
rnacentral:rRNA from 1 species